GCGAACGGGUGAGUAACACGUGGGCAACCUGCCCUGCACUCUGGGAUAACUUCGGGAAACCGGAGCUAAUACCGGAUAAUAUCCUCCUCCGCAUGGUGGGGGGUUGAAAGUUCCGGCGGUGCAGGAUGGGCCCGCGGCCUAUCAGCUUGUUGGUGGGGUAGUGGCCUACCAAGGCGACGACGGGUAGCCGGCCUGAGAGGGCGACCGGCCACACUGGGACUGAGACACGGCCCAGACUCCUACGGGAGGCAGCAGUGGGGAAUAUUGCGCAAUGGGCGAAAGCCUGACGCAGCGACGCCGCGUGAGGGAUGACGGCCUUCGGGUUGUAAACCUCUUUCAGCAGGGAAGAAGCGGUCCGGUUCUCCGGGGCGUGACGGUACCUGCAGAAGAAGCACCGGCUAACUACGUGCCAGCAGCCGCGGUAAUACGUAGGGUGCGAGCGUUGUCCGGAAUUAUUGGGCGUAAAGAGCUCGUAGGCGGCCUGUCGCGUCGGAUGUGAAAACUCGGGGCUUAACCCCGAGCCUGCAUUCGAUACGGGCAGGCUAGAGUUCGGCAGGGGAGACUGGAAUUCCUGGUGUAGCGGUGAAAUGCGCAGAUAUCAGGAGGAACACCGGUGGCGAAGGCGGGUCUCUGGGCCGAUACUGACGCUGAGGAG
rnacentral:rRNA from 1 species